rnacentral:misc_RNA from 1 species
GGAUGAAGCGUUCCGCCGGGAACCGGAUGCGUCGACGGCUCCCGCAGCACCGCAUUUUCAAACUCCGAUAAAGUCCCUCUGACGGCCUCCGCCAGCCGCGACAAUAUCUCCGCUGCCUGAAUUCGGAUAUACUCCGCAGAUUUUGAUUCGAAUAUUAUAUCAAUGUCAGGUAUCAACUCCGUGAAGGCAUCGUGGAGGUCU